GACGAACGCUUUCUUCUUUCUUAACACAUGCAAGUCGAACGGAAAGGCCCUGCUUUUGUGGGGUGCUCGAGUGGCGAACGGGUGAGUAACACGUGAGUAACCUGCCCUUGACUUUGGGAUAACUUCAGGAAACUGGGGCUAAUACCGGAUAGGAGCUCCUGCUGCAUGGUGGGGGUUGGAAAGUUUCGGCGGUUGGGGAUGGACUCGCGGCUUAUCAGCUUGUUGGUGGGGUAGUGGCUUACCAAGGCUUUGACGGGUAGCCGGCCUGAGAGGGUGACCGGCCACAUUGGGACUGAGAUACGGCCCAGACUGCUACGGGAGGCAGCAGUGGGGAAUAUUGCACAAUGGGCGGAAGCCUGAUGCAGCAACGCCGCGUGCGGGAUGAAGGCAUUCGGGUUGUAAACCGCUUUCGCCUGUGACGAAGCGUGAGUGACGGUAAUGGGUAAAGAAGCAAAGGCUAAAUACGGG
rnacentral:rRNA from 1 species